AUCCUUUUGUAGUUCAUAAGCAUGAUGAUUGGGUUUUCAUGUGCAUGCAUGAGAUGUGCCUCCCUCAAUUCUUGUUACAACAUCAGCACAUUACCCGUCUGACA
rnacentral:snoRNA from 1 species